rnacentral:lncRNA from 1 species
GCGAACUCCCUUCUCUCUUCCCUCACAAUCACUGCAAAUCCCUAUACCUACCUACCACACGUCUCCACUCUCUAAAAAUCCUCACAAAUCUCUCUUCUCUCUCACUUCUCUUAAAAAGAAAACAGAAAGAGAAAAGUUGUGGAGAUUUUCCUGACCGCCGCCGCACACCACCAUAAACCCUUCUUCCACCACCGUUCACCUUCAACCUUCACAACACAAACCACCAUUCAAACCCUAACCACACCGCCACCUUCUCCGUUUCACUCUCAGUCACACGACCCAUCCAAAUGCCAUCCUCACCGGUAAACCGUUGCCGUGUCUCCACACGCGAAACCACCGCGACGUCUAAACCCAACCACCGCCGACGCCCACACCAUCGUCGCGCUUCUCCGAUUCACCGACCGCGCAUCACCUUCGCAUCUACCACCACGCCUCCGUCGCCGACACACAAUAGGAGCAUCCGGCCUACACCCGAACCGCCGUCGACUUCCGAGCCUCAAUCGAACAACCUUCCAAAUAACUCCUCAUUGCUAGUGCAAAAAUGCUUGCGGCUGACUCUUUUUCACCAUCGUCAAAAGCUUGGACCAUCAUGUCAUCUCUCUUUCGUUCGGUAGAUUUCUAUUUUACUUUUGAUUGCUUUGAUUCGUGACGGGUUCGUGUGUUGUUUGUGGAUUUGUGAGACUUUGGUUAAGUUUAUUUUGAGAUUUGGAAGAAAAUGAAUUUUGUUUGAGUUUCUUGAAUGGCCAUGCGUUUUCAUUAUUUCCAUGAAACUGGAUGUUCUAUCAAGUGUUGAAAAAUGGAAUUGUUCUUUGCUUGGGUGGUGAAUAUGUGUUUAUUUUAUAUGAUACUUAUUGUUUCCCAAUGAAAAUAACAAAAAAAGUUGUUGAAGAACAUGGUGUGGGUAUUGAUAUGAAUUGGUUUUAAUAUUAAGAUGUAGAAAAAAAUAGUUUCAAUCUCAAGAGCUGACAUGAAUGGUAUUAAAACUUUUAUUGUUUGGUCUUUUUUAUAAUUGGUGUUUUUUCGUGUAGCUUGGAUUGGUGUAUCAGGUGAAUGUGCGAUGUUGUAGCAUUUCUUAUGCUAUGCAACAGUCUUAUAUUUAAUUCAGUUAGGUUGGCUUUCCAAAUAAAUAAAAUAAUGUCAAGCUUACCAUUGGAAGUAGGACAAUAUCACAGACUGUACAUGUUAGUGAAGGGAAACUUUCCUCAGUUCAUUAUGGAUGGUUAUUAUUUUAAGAUAGCUAGAUACCUAAAAACAUUGAAAAUAUCUUAAGUUUUUUUCUUUCUUACUUUAUUUUAUUUUAAUGACAAUUUCUUUUUUAAUUAGUUUAAGUUAGAUUUUGAUCCUAUUUUUUUUAUUAGCUUAUGUUAGAUUUAAUUCAGUUUAUUCCAUAUUUUGAUAAUGGAAUUUUAAGUUCA